AGACACUGCUUUGGGAACUAUCUCUUGUGUUCUCCUUACUUGUUACAAGUAAUAAAAUUGUCUUGCAAAGAAAAAGAAAAAGAAAACUGUCUUCCUAGCCUGGAUAAAAUCUUUCUCUCUUCAAACUCUCUCCUCUGGCAUGUGCUUAGGCUUUUAGGAAUAAAACCCAGGAAGUCCUGUCUCAGACCUCCCAUAAGACAAGGGAGCCCAGGGUCUUCUAUCUGCUUGAAUGCAGGCAGAGAAAAUACAAAAUAUCUCAAAAUGUUAUCGUGUCACAAAUGUUGUCUUGCUUUUGGACUCUUUAGUUCCUGGGUCUGGACCAUGGUAAAUCUGAUUUCCACAACAUGACAUAGAUGCAAAGUGCUUGUGGUAGUUUGAAAUCCAGCUUACUAUAAUGUUGAUUAAGAAACAUGAGUCUCAUCUCCACACAACUGUUAGAAUGACUAUUAUCAAAAAGACGAAUGAUAAUAAGUAUUGGCAAGAGGUAGAGAAGGGGAACUCUUGCACACUUGUGGUAAGACUAUUAAUUAGUAUGGCCAUUAUGAAAAACAGUAUGAAGUUUCCUCAAAAAACUAAAAAUAGAAUUACCAUAUGAUCCAGCAAUCCCACUACUGGGUGUGUAUCCAAAUAAAAUAAAAUCAGUAUGUCAAAGAGAUAUCUGCACUCCCAUGUCCACUGCAGCAUUAUUCACAAUAGCCAAGGCAUGGAAUCCAUCUAAGUGCCCUUCAGUGGAAAAAAUGGAUAAAGUAAGUGUGGAAUAUAUACACAAUGGGACACUCUUCAGCCUUUAAAAAGAAGAAAAUCCUGUUAUUUGCACAACAUGAGUAAACCUGGUGGACAUUAUGUUAAGUGAAAUAGGCCAGGAACAGAAAGACAAAUACUACAUGAUUUCACUUAUAUGUGAAAAAAGUUGAUCUCAUAGAAGUAAAGAGUAGAAUGGUGGUUACCAGAGGCUGGAUGGGGGCAGUUGGAAUUGGGGAGAUGUUCGUCAAAGGAUAUACAAUUUCAGUUAGACAAGAGGAAUAAGUUCAAGAGACCUAUUGUACAACUUGGUGAUAAUAGUUAAUAAUAACGUAUACUUGAAAAUUGCUAAGACAGUAGAUGUAAAUGUAGUAGUAAAAUGUUCUCACCAUAAAAAAUAAGUUUGUGAGGUCACGCAUAUGUUAAUUAGCUUGAUUUAGAUAUUACACAAUGUAUACAUAUUUUAAGACAUCAUGCUGUACACCAUAAUAUAUACAAUUUUUAUUUGUCAAUUAAAACAUUUUUUAAAAAACACAUGAAUCUCAUGGUACAUGGACUUGCAUUAAAGAUUGGGGUUCAAAUUCUGCCCCUUACUACUUACCUAGCAUGGUAAGUAACGAUCUUGGUGUUUUGCCUUUUCUUUCCUUUGCCCCAUCUCUCUACUGCUAUUUAGUUGAGACCUCCAUCAUCUUUCACCAAGAUCAACAUAACAGUCUCCUAACUGGUCUCUCUGUCUCCAAUCUUACCCUCUACAGUCUGUCAUCAAUCCUAAUGAUAAAUGGAAAUGUGGUCAUCCAAAGUCCUCCAUCAAAACCCUUCAGUGACUCCCCAUUGGCCAGAGGGCAAAGUUGGAGCUUCAAAGCAAUGAUUCAUAGUUAAUUCAAUGAUCUUUGUAAUCCUUUAUGAUCAGUUUCCUCUUUUCACUCAGUGGCAGAUACUUGUAGUUGUCCUCAAAUUUCAUACUCUCAUUUUUCUUUAUUAAUAUAACCACACAUUUUUAACUGAGCUCAUUGAUCAUCAUAACAGAGUCUAUUGAAAGUCCUCAGCAGGCGGUGUGACGAUGUGACCAGCUCUGGCCAAGGAGCUGUAGGCAGAAGUGUCUUGCAGCAGCUCCUGUAAAUCUUAAAAGACAGCUGGUGCGUGUCUUUUUUCCUUUUUUUUUCCCUUCCCCCUUCCUGCUGCGCUGAAUAUGGAUAUGGUGAGUGAAUCUAGAGCAGCCAUUUGGAGGUAUGAAGAGAUCUUGGAAAUAGAGGCCAUGUGUGUUGAAACAAGACCGAACAACUCCAAGUUCCUGAAGACUUCAUUUCACCAACCCAGAACCUCCUUGAUCAUCACAGUGGUCGAACCAUUUUACAUUUUCACCAGCAAUGAAGGAGGGUUCCUGUUGCUCUACCAUUUGGUACUGUCAGCGUUUUGGAUAUUAGCCGUCCUAAUAGGUGUUUGACUCUUCCUACAGCCUUUGCAUGGAUGAUUGUCUGUCCUCUGUUGGGCCCCUUCUGAAGAGUUGGAGUUGGUUGCAAACUAUAGAAACCAUUUGGGCUGGUUUGAGCAUAAAAGGAAAUUACUGGGAGUUAUUAGGUGCUCGGUGAUUCAUUGGGAGGUCUGGCAAAAAAGAAGCUCAAGGCUAAGCUCAUAGGAACACAGCCCGGCAUCUCACACAGAAGUGGCUUGAUGAGGAUUCUACUGCCUCCACAGCUCCUGCCAUCAUCUUCAUCUGCACCAUAGAUGCUCAGAACCCAGUCUGUGUCUGCAUGUUGCUGACUUCCAAAUGAGAGCUUCAUGAGAGUGUAUUUGGUUGGUAGAACAUAGGUCCCAGACCUUCUCCCUGGGAGCUGGAAGAGAUGCUGGGAAAUUCUGCCCUGGAAAAAUAAAACUCACAAUGUGGGAAACAAAGAAAAUGUACAGCAGGGGUUUAACAGAAUGACAGGUAUCUGCUAAAGAAAAUAUUGAUUUUUUUUAAAAAAAAAAAAGACAAUUUUCCCUUUAGAGCCCCAGAAAGAUUCAGGCCUUAGAGGCACUAAGUACUAUAGAAAAUGAGGCUGAAGCAUGGGGCUGAAACUUGGUUUGGUUGAAGGUCUCUGGAAGGCAGAGCAGUUUAACCUCUAGGUUCCCUCAUCCACCCCCAUACAGCCAGACAAUUAUCCCUCCACCCUUCUGUUCUCCUCCCCUCUUCCCUUAGAAAACUUGAAGUUUAUUCUCUAGAGAAGUUCCAGGCUCAGUGACACCAGGCCAAGGUGCUGGACUGAAAACAAUUAGAUUAAGUUAAAAUCUGCUUGAUAAGUGUACAAGUAAUCUAUUUUCAAAACCUAAGAGAUGUUGUCAGCUAUCUCUAACUAUAUGCCAGCAGUAGGCCUUCUAGGAAACUGUACUAUGAUUCCAGGAAACUCGAUUGUGGGCUGGGGAAGGACAAUAAAGUGGAUUGUAUGAUCAUCUGCUUCUGUUACUGGAAAGGGAUCCUGAUCCAGACCCCAAGAGAGGGUUCUUGGAUCUUGUGCAAGAAAGAAUUCAGGAGUCCAUAAAGUGAAAGCAAGUUUAUCAGAGAAGUAAAGAAACAAAAGGAUGGCUACCCCAUAGACAGAGAGCCCUGAGGGCUGCUGGUUGGACAUUUUUAUGGUUAUUUCUUGAUCAUAUGCUAAACAAGGGGUAGAUUAUUCAUAAGUUUUCUGGGAAAGGGGAGGUUCCCAAAACUGAGGGUUCCUCCCCUUUUUAGACCAUAUAAGGUAACUUGGGUGUUGCCAUGGCAUUUGUAAACUGUCAUGGCACUGCUGAGAGUGUCUAUUAGCCUGCUAAUGCAUUAUAAUUAACGUACAAUGAGCAGUGAGGAUGACCAGAGGUCACUUUCAUCACCAUCUUGGUUUUGGCCGGCUUCUUUAUGGCAUCCUGUUUUAUCACCAGGGUCUUUAUGACCCGUAUCUUGUGAUAUCAAUCCUGCCGACCUCCUAUCUCAUCCUGUGGCUAAGAAUGUCUAACCUCCUGGGAAUGCUGCCCAGCAGGUCUCAUUCUCAUUUUACCGAGCCCCUACUCAAGAUGGAGUCGCUCUGGUUUGAACGCCUCUGACACUUCCACUCUCAAGGAAUGGUGUUUUUAUUCUCUUCUCCCCAGAAUGUACUUCUGGUCUGUCCCGCUGUUCCAUUCCACAGCAUUUUAGGAGGUUCUCAAGAGUGUCCUAAACAAGCAGAGAAGAAUGGUGAGACUUACCCAUUCCUAGUUUAAGAAAUGAGUGAAAUGGGGUCUGAGUUAUAUCACAGGUGAGCUAGACAUCCUCGAAAUAAAGAGCCAGAGUAUCAGGCAAACCUUCUAAUAGCUAAAAUGAGCGUACUUCUAUUCCUAGCUACAGUUUAGACUCCUGUGGUACAGUUGGCUUUCCCAGGCUCCCGGCGUCCAUGCUGUCUCGGCGCUAUCUCGCAGCCUGACGCCACGCGCCAUCUGCUGGCCUUGAGCUGCAUAGCUCUAGAGUAACUUCAGAGGCCACGGGGGAACAAAGAGCACUCGCCUACUUGACUGAGCUCCGACAGGCCGUCCCUCUGCUUCAGGUGUAGGCGUGAACAAGUCCAGACCACUACCUUAACAGGUAUGAGGAAAAUGAAGACUCUCCUAUUUUGGCACGUAUCUCAAAAUUGUCAUCAUUCACUUAAAGUGCAUAACCACAGAGACCUUCCUACUUAUUUUCUCUGGUGUUUUGAAGUUUUGUCAUGGGAAGAAAAUAGCGCUUCUAGAAACAUGAACUAGACUAAUUACUAAUGGAUUCUUUCUCUUACAUUUUGUACAGUGGAAUAAGGGCUAUUAAUUCAUUAAGCAGUUGGCUUGGAACCUUCUCUGACGACUCUUUGCAAAGAGAGAGAGGUCUAGAAGACUUGUGGGAAGGGAGGAAGUGGUGGUACCUGAUAUUUUCCAAUUUUCCGCAGGUCACUGAUGGGAACUUUGACCAGCAUCCUUGUUCCUCCCUCAACUUAUGGUCACCCUAAAAAAGCUAAGGCAUAGAUUUCAAAUUCUGGAGCCAGUUUUUGUAUUUAGGUCUCCAAGUACAGAGAGAAACUGGCAGACAGGGGUGGAGAAGUAUUGAGAACGAAUUCGGACACCCUGAAAGCGGAGUUCUAGAUCCAGUGUUGCCAGCAACGAGCCAAGAGACCUUUCUUCACAAGUUGAUUUACCUUUCCAUGUUUCAGUUUUCUCAUAAUUCCUGCCCUUAUUCCCUUCUCACCACCCCUGAUCCCCUCCCCUUUCCUGAUUGGGUAACAGGACAGGAAGCAGCAGAGCAUUCUAUGAAGCUUCCUCCUCAACGUCCUAGAGUAGCGGGUCUCAGUCUUCACUACACAGUCAAGUCCCAUGGUGCAUUUUUCAAACUUGCAUACCUGGCCCUUCCUGUGCUGAAUUCUGGUCUGCCCAUAAUUUGCUCCCUCCUUUCUCACUGUUUUCCUUUCUCCCUUCCUUGUUUUCUUUCCUAUCCCUUGCUGUCUCUGUUAGAACUUCUUUUUCCUGGUAUCUAGCCAAUCUCUUAACCCUGUUUUACUUUACUGUCCUAAGAUGCUGUCUUCUCAUGCCUACAUGUACUUUCUUUAAAAAAAAAACUGUUUAAAAAACAUUGUGUGGGAGGAGCCAAGAUGGCCAAAUAGGAACAGCUCCAGCCUACAGCUCCCAGCGUGAGCGAUGCAGAAGAUGGGUGAUUUCUGCAUUUCCAUCUGAGGUACCAGGUUCAUCUCACUAGGGAGUGCCAGACAGUGGGCACAGGUCAGUGGGUGCACGCACCAUGCGCGAGCCGAAGCAGGGCGAGGCUUUGCCUCUCUCAGGAAGCCCAAGGGGUCAGGGAGUUCCCUUUCCUAGUCAAAGAAAGUGGUGACAGACGGCACCUGGAAAAUCGGGUCACUCCCGAAUACUGCGCUUUUCCAACGGGCUUAAAAACUGGCGCACCGGGCCGGGCGCGGUGGCUCACGCCUGUAAUCCCAGCACUUUGGGAGGCCGAGGCGGGCGGAUCACGAGGUCAGGAGAUCGAGACCAUCCCG
rnacentral:lncRNA from 1 species